rnacentral:rRNA from 1 species
UACGUAGGUGGCAAGCGUUGUCCGGAUUUACUGGGCGUAAAGGGCUCGUAGGCGGCCAACUAAGUCAGACGUGAAAUCCCGCGGCUUAACCGGGGAACUGCGUCUGAUACUGGAUGGCUUGAGUUUGGGAGAGGGAUGCGGAAUUCCAGGUGUAGCGGUGAAAUGCGUAGAUAUCUGGAGGAACACCGGUGGCGAAGGCGGCAUCCUGGACCAACACUGACGCUGAGGAGCGAAAGCCAGGGGAGCAAACGGG